AGAGAGAGAGAGAUGCAUAUGCAAUAAGCGAUGUGUAGAUAGGUGUGUGUUCCUUCGAUUUGAAGGAACGGAGAGAGAGAUAGAAAGAUAAGGGUCACCGUUUCACGGCCUCACGGGGGUUGUGAUGGUUCUCUUUUCACCAUUGUCAUGUGCUUGUGCUCUCUGUUCUGAUCCUCUCUUUGAUCUCCUUUUCCUUAACUUUGCCUUU
rnacentral:misc_RNA from 1 species